rnacentral:rRNA from 1 species
GACGAACCGUGCAAACGUUAUUCGGAAUCACUGGGCUUAAAGGGUGCGUAGGCGGGCGUUCAAGUCAGUGGUGAAAUCCCCCGGCCCAACCGGGGAACUGCCGCCGAUACUGAUCGUCUCGAGGGAGGUAGGGGUGUGUGGAACUUCCGGUGGAGCGGUGAAAUGCGUAGAGAUCGGAGGGAACGCCGGCGGCGAAAGCGACACACUGGAUCUCUUCUGACGCUGAGGCACGAAAGCCAGGGGAGCAAACGGG